AUUGAACGCUGGCGGCAGGCCUAACACAUGCAAGUCGAACGAGUGGCGGACGGGUGAGUAAUGUCUGGGAAACUGCCUGAUUGAGGGGGAUAACUACUGGAAACGGUAGCUAAUACCGCAUACCAUCAGAGCUGCCCAAAUGGGAUUAGCUUGUUGGUGGGGUAACGGCUCACCAAGGCGACGAUCCGUAGCUGGUCUGAGAGGAUGACCAGCCACAUUGGAACUGAGACACGGUCUAUACUCCUACGGGAGUCAGCAGUGUGGAAUAUGACACAAUGGUUGCAAGCAUGAUGCAGCCAUGCCGCGUGUAUGACGAAGGCCUUCGGGUUUUAAAGUACUUUCAGCGGGGAGGCGUUACCCGCAGAAGAAGCACCGGCUAACUCCGUGCCAGCAGCCGCGGUAAUAC
rnacentral:rRNA from 1 species